rnacentral:rRNA from 1 species
GACGAACGCGGCGGCGUGCUUAACACAUGCAAGUCGAACGGAAAGGCCCUGCUUUUGUGGGGUGCUCGAGUGGCGAACGGGUGAGUAACACGUGAGUAACCUGCCCUUGACUUUGGGAUAACUUCAGGAAACUGGGGCUAAUACCGGAUAGGAGCUCCUGCUGCAUGGUGGGGGUUGGAAAGUUUCGGCGGUUGGGGAUGGACUCGCGGCUUAUCAGCUUGUUGGUGGGGUAGUGGCUUACCAAGGCUUUGACGGGUAGCCGGCCUGAGAGGGUGACCGGCCACAUUGGGACUGAGAUACGGCCCAGACUCCUACGGGAGGCAGCAGUGGGGAAUAUUGCACAAUGGGCGGAAGCCUGAUGCAGCAACGCCGCGUGCGGGAUGACGGCCUUCGGGUUGUAAACCGCUUUCGCCUGUGACGAAGCGUGAGUGACGUAAUG